ACACUACAUCCCAGGUGCAUUCCUGAAAUACUUGCUGGGUGGAUUGAGCUUAUUCUGGGGCCUAUCCUGCUUGAAUAUGCAAAGGAUUCCAGUGUUAUCUGGUAUAUCUGAUGCGGCAUUGACCUAUACUCUCAUAUCUUAUCUUCCUACUCAGUAUGCAACCAGAAAAUGCUGGUGCUGCUGUACUACUGAGGGCAGUGCCUCCCUCCAACAACUGCUCCGCAGUGUGAGAUGUGGCCACUCACACAGACUCCUAAUACAGCCCACCGCAUGUAGUCUGGCAAGUGUAUAGGACAAGUGGUCCCUUCUUGGAGAUGAUGGAGGAGAAGGACAUUUGUGGGUUGGAUGGAGCCCUGGGCAACCUGGUCUAGCCCACGGCUGGGAGAUUGGAACUAGGAAACAAAGAUUUUGCCUUGUAAUCCUCUGGAACCCAAGGGAGAGCCAUCUGUCUGUCAGUACCAGAGAUAACUUCUCUUCUAGAGGAAUACAAAAUCUGAACCACAGCUGCAGCUGCAGCACUGCUAUCCAAGCUUUACGAGUGUUUUUAAGAGGCAAUUGAACAAUCAGUCCACUCAGUUCCUGGGGUGACAGGGCCAAGUUCCAGCAACAAUAGCUGAGUUCUGGCAUUUUGACAUCCAAACCAGGGAUUGUUGUUGCAAAACCAUGUGCAAUUCAGCGCUGAGCAAUGUGUUCCCUACACACAGCUCAGUGCAGUACACUGGGAUGGUUACUAUUAUCGACACUAUUAGGACAUACAGGAGAGCAUGAUGCAAUAGAAGGAACACCAAGCUGAGAUAAAGGUGACAUGGGGAACUGUUGUAGGCAGCUUGAAGGUAUAACUAUAUGCGAAAGCCCCACUGGUUCUGGAGUUGGCCUAUGGAUUCGCAAUGAAUGGAGCAACCAGAAAGGAAUGCAGAUAUAACGGAGAGCCCUCCCUGCCAUCUGCACCCAUGAGCCCACUGCAUCAUAGGAUUUUUGCAGGCCCUGCCAUACAAAAAUAACCAAAACCAAGUGAAAAAGUGUUUAGUCUUACAAAUCUCAAAAUAAAAGGAACCUUGGAUAUGAGUGAUUCUUUCUCAUCUCUAAACAUAUAUGUACUUCCAUAAUGCUGAACUCAAUUCUUCUUUUCUUUAUCUUGCAUUUAAACAAUAGACCAGGUUUUAUGGUUCUAUGCGAAGAACUUGUUACACAAGCUCCAGUGACUCACAAUCUUGUUGAACACUGUAUUCCCAAGUACUAGCCUCUAACACCAGGAAUCCUGGUAAAUGGAAUUAAAUAUUUUGCAAGAAUAUCUUGCUACAGCAUUUAAUACAUCUCUUGCAUAACUGACUCUUUUGGUGGGAUCUUUACUUUGGAAAGUAAAACAGAUAUAUGCAUGUAUUCAGUUGAGAGGUUGUAACAUGUUGAUACUGAUUUACUUGAGAGUUUUGGCCAAAUUUGGUGUGCUUAUGUUGCUGGGAGUAAAAGGGAG
ensembl:lncRNA